GACGAACGCUGGCGGCGUGCUUAACACAUGCAAGUCGAACGAAGUGGCGAACGGGUGAGUAACGCGUAAUCAACCUGCCCUUCAGAGGGGGACAACAGUUGGAAACGACUGCUAAUACCGCAUACUGAAGGAGGGGAUUGCGUUGGAUUAGCUAGUUGGAGGGGUAACGGCCUACCAAGGCGAUGAUCAGUAGCCGGCCUGAGAGGAUGAUCGGCCACAAUGGGACUGAGACACGGCCCAGACUCCUACGGGAGGCAGCAGUGGGGAAUCUUCCGCAAUGGAGGGAAGUCUGACGGAGCAACGCCGCGUGAGUGAAGACGGCCUUCGGGUUGUAAAGCUCUGUUAAUCGGGACGCGGUACCGGAAUAGAAAGCCACGGCUAACUCCGUGCCAGCAGCCGCGGUAAUUC
rnacentral:rRNA from 1 species